UAUAGUCUCUUGUCGACCUCAGAUCAAGCGAGAUUACCCCCUGAAU
rnacentral:rRNA from 1 species